CAGCAGCCGCGGUAAUACGUAGGGUGCAAGCGUUAAUCGGAUUUACUGGGCGUAAAGCGUGCGUAGGCGGCUUUUUAAGUCGGAUGUGAAAUCCCUGAGCUUAACUUAGGAAUUGCAUUCGAUACUGGGAAGCUAGAGUAUGGGAGAGGAUGGUAGAAUUCCAGGUGUAGCGGUGAAAUGCGUAGAGAUCUGGAGGAAUACCGAUGGCGAAGGCAGCCAUCUGGCCUAAUACUGACGCUGAGGUACGAAAGCAUGGGGAGCAAACAGGAUUAGAGACCCCCGUAGUCCCUGUCUCUUAUAC
rnacentral:rRNA from 1 species